GUCACUCCAAUAGUCUUUCUGUGUAUAUAUAGAAGUAAGCAUGGCAUAACCAAGUAUAUUAAAGUCAGAUGGCCUUUCUAAAACUUUAGUUCUAUUAAUUAGAAGGUAGGGUCUUCAUCUUUUCAAAAUAUGUAAUCAUAGGUUUCCAAAUUUUAUAAAAUUUUUGGAUGGAUCCUUUUUUGACAUUUUAUUUUUUCUAGUUUUAAAUAUCAAAUCACAAAUCCACAUUGAAAUUUUUGGUGGAUUUUUUUACUUCCAUUCCAACAAUAUUCUCCUUCUUGCUAAUAGUGAAGCAAAAGCAAAGACAUUUUCCAUUUUGUUAGUCAAAGAUAUUCCGGUAACACUUUACAAUAAGGUUCAUUAGUUAACUACAUUAGUUAACAUGAACUAAUAAUGAACUGCACUUAUACAGCGUUUAUUAAUCUUUGUUAAUGUUAAUUUCAACAUUUACUAAUACAUUAUUAAAAUCUUGUUAACAUUAGGUAAUGCACUGUGAACUAACAUGAACUAACAAUGAACAUCUGUAUUUUUAUUAACUAACGUUAGCGAAGAUUAGUAAAUCCAGUAACAAAUGUAUUGCUCAUGGUUAGUUCAUGUUAGUUAAUACAUUAACUAAUGUUUAACUAAUGAACCUUAUUGUAAAGUGUUACCGAUAUUCCAUGUUCUGGCACUCCAAAGAUAGCAAUUUCAACACAGGGUGUUAUAUUCAAGUUAAAAGCUUCAUUUAGUGUUUUAAAUACAAGUGUCCAGUAGUUUUUCAGCUUUUGGCAGGACCAAAACAUAUGAAUAAGGUCAGCUUUAUCACUUUUGAUAAAAUGAACAUGAUCUCAAGACAUUGGGGAUGCAAAAUUGCAGAGGGAUUUUUGAUAUGUCGAACGGUUUGCCCGUGGCGAGGCGAUGAAGUAAUGUCGAGAAAUGUGAAAUGGGAAACGCCUAAUAACAGCCACAUACAUUGUCUGAUUUUGAUCAAACUUCAGUGGUUUGUUCGUUGUAUGAUGCCGAUCGCAUAGAUGUGACUAUUAGGAGUCAAAGUUAUAGCGCCACCAUCUGGCAGCAGGAAAUGUCAUUUUCAAAAUGCUUUGAAUUCAGCAUCUUAUUUUUACCCGAUUUGCUUCAAACUUCAUCAGAAUAAUGUCAAAAUACGGCCGAUUUAAAACUGUGAAGGAAAUAUUGAUAUGUAAAAUACUGUUGCCAUGGCAAUGUGUCAAACUUCAAUAUUCUUUUACGGUGAUUUUGUGGCAGAUAACAUGCUUAGAAUUCCAUGAAACUCGACACACAUAUCCAUAUUAAUGAUAGUUAGACACUGGCAAAAGCUCAUAAAUGGACGUGGAAGAGGCAUUCUAUAGCGCCACCUUUUGUCAAAAGUUAGUUUUAGCUAUAAUCACCAAACUCGGUAUAUAUGUUGUUCUCAUAAAACCGGAAAACUUUCUAAUUUACAGUCAUUAGCUAUGACCAACAGGAUGUCGGCUAUUUUGAUUUUAAUGUUGAAAUUUUGAGAAAUAUGGCUGUAAAUAAAUUCAUACUCCUCCAAGCAGAAACAAGCAGUUCACACCAAACUUUGUCAAUAUGAUUGAAUAUGGUAAAUUGCGAACAGAUUUGGGAUAUUUUGAACUGUAUUGCAAUGGUGAUUUAUUAAAGUGCCAGUAAAAAAAGAUAGCAGUAAUUUUCUUAUAUCUUUAAAGUGCAUUAUACACUUUCUUCAAAACUUUUAGUUUAUAAAGAACAAGUCAUUCGGAGAGAUCACGUGACCCUUCGAUAGCGAUACACGUCUAGUCCUUCGCUCUCUGCUCACUUUGUCAAAUAUUAUAGAAUCCUGUCAGUAAAUUUCAAACCACUCUCUAUUUAACCCAUCAUGAAUACUUCAACAGUCAAAGGCGAUCGGAAAAGAGAGAUUGAGCAAUCGCCAAUAAAGAAAAAAUUCAAAGAUUCCACCAUCUCCAGAGAGGAUCCGAUGCAACUGGCUUCCUCAGAGCUAAUCUUUCCAAGUGGAUCCCUUCCCUGAAAGGCCGUGACAUCGAGAUUGACCGGGCCCAUCUCGUGUAUGACAGAAGGAAAAACUCCGAUCGGCCGCGCACUCUCAUCUUCAUUUACUAUCGGCGGUCCUGAGGGGUGCUCGGCAGGCAUAUCCAGUGAAAUGUACACAGGACAAUGUCACGCUACUAUUUUUUCCCGACUUUAGUCCAGCCACAGCUACCAAGAGAAAGAGCUUUAAUCCAGUCUUGAAGAAGAUGAUAGCACUUGGUCUCCAGCCCUUCCUCACCUAUCCGGCGGUAAUUAAACUAUGGCACAAGGGUGAGCAGAUGAUGUUUGACUCUCCUCAGAAAGCGGAGGACUUUAUCAGCUCACUGUCACAGAAGAAGACUUAUGCUGCAGCUCUACAAGGCAACGGGAAAACAGUGGCCACCAUCUCAGUCUCUUCGGCCCAGCGAGAAAAACUUAAAGACCAGGAUGGAGGCGAUUUCAGCUGCCCAGGAGAGGAUAAUAACAAGCUCUCCGUGUUCCUGCUGCACAUCCUGCCUUCACUGGAUUAACCCGCACUCACCUUGGAUUUAUCGGCAUGGAGUUGGAUACUCUACUCACUGCUAGAGUCUUGUCUGUUCUUUGCUGUCAUAAAUAAAGGCGUCAUUGCACUCA